UCGAGUAGGACGAGAACUAAGCUCGGAACUGCAUUAUAGAAAGUAAGAGUUCACAGUUUUACAUCUUCUUGGUCAAUUGGAGCCCACGUGUCAUUGCAGAUCAAAACUUAUAUUUUGGUUAUCUGUAUAUUCAUACAAUUUUUACUUUACUUUCAUGUGCGAAAAAUUAUUUACGAAUAUUUCUAUAAAAAUUUAUUUUAUGAGAAAAUAGAAUAUUUUAUUGAUUAUUUUUGAAUAGUACUAGUUG
rnacentral:lncRNA from 1 species